CAUGCAGAGGUUUUCUGACGGCACUGCAAUUGCGGGCUGUAUCAGGGAUGGACAGGAGCCCGGUGAAGGACUUCGUGUGUUCGACCCUGCCCAUACUGGCAUUGUACACAGGGAACUCAAAGGAGAUGUGUCACUGACCCACCUGUGAUAAUAAUCACAUUACCAUCAGGCAGUUCUGCAAAGGAGUCUGUGAUCUGAUCUACACCCGUUGGCUCUGAUGUCUUGGGGAAACCCAACUCUCCACUGUGCUUCAGCUGCUGCUUUGAUAUACAUGUUGUUAAGGACUCGUACAUUAUUAGCGACACCUGUAACUGCAGGUCGUCCACUUUCCUCAUUAGGCAUGUAAAGCUGACAGUCAGAUGUCUCAGGUCCUUCUCUUGUCAGUGCUCCUAACACUCUGCAUUCUGCACGUUUUAUGAAUAUAGUCACUACUUUUAGUCCACUUUAGUUUACUGAAAUUGCACCACUCUAAUAAACAUAAAAAUCAAGAAUGGUGCACAUUUCUU